AAAAUAGGUUUAUGCGAAUAUUGUUGGAGUGUCAGUAUCUCCUCAUUCCCGUUCUAUCUGUUAUUCUCACCCCCCUUUUUGAGUCUACGCUUCUCAUUUCCCUUCUAUCCUUAGUUACUAUUCCUUGUUAUCCUUUCAACUACCUUGUUGAUCUUAAGCUUUCCAUUGUAAUAGUUAGUUUGAGCAUGCAAUCAAAGGAAUUGAUUCCUUGUAGUUGAGCAUUCAAGUGUUCACUUCAGAAGAUCUCUCAAGAAUGGUUCAGUUUCGCUAAUUCAGAUGUAGAUGAAAGCCUCACUGGAGGAGAUGCCAUCAAGUUAUUUGCCAUGUCCAAUUUGCCUCGUCAAGAGCUCAAGCAGGUUCUUUUCUUUUCUACUUCCUUUAUUUCCUUAAUAUCGUUCACUUGUACCCAAUAACCCCAUUAUUCAAGUGAGCCGUUAUUUUCUUAGAUAGUGUAUAUAUGGUCAAAAUUAUUUUAUUAUAUGGCAGAUCUUGAAUCCUCUUGA